GUGGCACUUUUCGUACUUCAAGAGAAUCGGCGUUGCGGGACCGAAGCCAAACCUGAUAUGGGGCAACCUUGUAGAAUACCACUCUACGGAUAUAUAUAAGGUUAUUGGAAGAUGGAUAGAAAAAUAUGGGGACAUAUUUGGGUUCUACAACGGGGACGUGCCUUUCGUCGUCACUCAGGACUUGGAGAUGAUAGACGAAGUUUACGUGAGAAACUUCUCGAAUUUUACU